AUCGCUUCUCGGCCUUUUGGCUAAGAUCAAAUGUAGUAUCUGUUCUUAUCAGGUUAAUUUCUGAUACGUCCUCUAUCUGAGGACAAUAUGUUAAAUGCAUUUUUGCAAGCAGGACUUGGACUAGGCACUAACUCCUUCUACUCCACGCAUCAACCUGGCAUUGCAGUACUUCCAGGAAUGGCGCAGCCCCU